AUCCCCGACACCUCCAAGUGAUGGUUUCCCUCUGGCAGUUCUCAAGCGACAGACCUCUGCCUCCUCACAUUUUUCUAUUCUAUUUCUGCACAUAUAGUAAGUAAAAAUGUACUCCAAUGCAUUGCCUUGAACUAUCUCCAACCUCUAUGCUGUGAGCCUCAACAUCACAUAAGGCGAUUGCGACAGCAGAAGGAAGACAAAAAAGUAACGAGGGGGAAAGAACAGGAUCGCAACAGUGGUCUCC
rnacentral:lncRNA from 1 species